UUCUUAAGUCUGAUGUGAAAGCCCCCGGCUCAACCGGGGAGGGUCAUUGGAAACUGGGGAACUUGAGUGCAGAAGAGGAGAGUGGAAUUCCACGUGUAGCGGUGAAAUGCGUAGAGAUGUGGAGGAACACCAGUGGCGAAGGCGACUCUCUGGUCUGUAACUGACGCUGAGGCGCGAAAGCGUGGGGAGCGAACAGGAUUAGAUACCCUGGUAGUCCACGCCGUAAACGAUGAGUGCUAAGUGUUAGAGGGUUUCCGCCCUUUAGUGCUGCAGCAAACGCAUUAAGCACUCCGCCUGGGGAGUACGGUCGCAAGACUGAAACUCAAAGGAAUUGACGGGGGCCCGCACAAGCGGUGGAGCAUGUGGUUUAAUUCGAAGCAACGCGAAUAACCUUACCAGGUCUUGACAUCCUCUGACAAC
rnacentral:rRNA from 1 species